rnacentral:rRNA from 1 species
UACGUAGGGUGCAAGCGUUAAUCGGAAUUACUGGGCGUAAAGCGUGCGCAGGCGGCUUUGCAAGACAGAUGUGAAAUCCCCGGGCUUAACCUGGGAACUGCAUUUGUGACUGCAUGGCUGGAGUGCGGCAGAGGGGGAUGGAAUUCCGCGUGUAGCAGUGAAAUGCGUAGAUAUGCGGAGGAACACCGAUGGCGAAGGCAAUCCCCUGGGAUAACACUGACGCUCAUGCACGAAAGCGUGGGGAGCAAACAGG